UACGGAAGGUGCGAGCGUUAAUCGGAAUUACUGGGCGUAAAGCGCACGUAGGUGGUUUUAUAAGUCGGAUGUGAAAGCCCCGGGCUUAACCUGGGAAUUGCAUCCGAGACUGUCUGACUUGAGUAUGCUAGAGGGAAGUGGAAUUCCAGGUGUAGCGGUGAAAUGCGUAGAUAUCUGGAGGAACACCGGUGGCGAAGGCGGCAUCCUGGACCGGUAUUGACGCUGAGGCGCGAAAGCUAGGGGAGCAAACGGG
rnacentral:rRNA from 1 species